GGAAUGAACGGAAGUUGCUCGUCGGCGGACAGGAAGCCUCGUCGGACAGGAAGACGCUCGCCGGACAGGAAGAUCGCCGCUUGCCAGACAGGAAGAUCGCCGCUCGUUGGACUGGAGGUGAUGAAGGAUUUGGGGUUUUAACUUGAGGAAGGAUUUGGGGAAAUAAGUUAACGUUUUGGGGAUAACACGAUUUGGGGGUUUUUU
rnacentral:lncRNA from 1 species